GUCUGAAGAUUGCAGUCUGAGCAUAAACUAAAUAAGUUAAAACUUUCAACAACGGAUCUCUUGGUUCCGGCAUCGAUGAAGAACGCAGCGAAAUGCGAUAACUAAUGUGAAUUGCAGAAUUCAGUGAAUCAUCGAGUCUUUGAACGCACAUUGCGCCCCCUGGUAUUCCGGGGGGCAUGCCUGUCCGAGCGUCAUUGCUGCCCUCAAGCACGGCUUGUGUGUUGGGCUCCGUCCCCCCGGGGACGGGCCCGAAAGGCAGCGGCGGCACCGAGUCCGGUCCUCGAGCGUAUGGGGCUUUGUCACCCGCUCUGUAGGCCCGGCCGGCGCCAGCCGACAACCCAUCAUCCUUUUCAGGUUGACCUCGGAUCAGGUAGGGAUACCCGCUGAACUUAAGCAUAUCAAUAAGCGGAGGA
rnacentral:rRNA from 1 species